GCGCAGCAGGCGAGAAACCUCCGCAAUACACGAAAGCGUGACGGGGCCAUCCCGAGUGCCGUCCGCUGAGGACGGCUUUUCCCCACGUGUACAUAGCUGGGGGAAGUAAGGAGAGGGCAAGCCUGGUGUCAGCCGCCGCGGUAAUACCAGCUCUCCGAGUGGUGGGGACGCUUAUUGGGCCUAAAGCAUCCGUAGCCGGCUGGGCAAGUCCUCCGUUAAAUCCAACGAUUCAAUCGUUGGGCUGCGGGGGGAUACUGUCCAGCUUGGGGGCGGGGAGAGGCCGACGGUAUUCCCGGGGUAGGGGUGAAAUCCUAUAAUCCCGGGAGGACCACCAGUGGCGAAGGCUGUCGGCUAGAACGCGCCCGACGGUGAGGGAUGAAAGCUGGGGGAGCGAACCGGAUUAGAUACCCGUGUAGU
rnacentral:rRNA from 1 species